CUCCUUCCCAACCUACUCUCCCUGCUGCCUGAAGAACCUGAGCUGGGUCCCCGCCAAUUCGAUCAACAACUCAAGAGCCUCCUGCACCGUGGCCUCGUUGUCGUUGUUCAAAGCCUCCAUCAACAUCCUCAUCACCACUGUAAUCUUGUAAGCCCAAUUGAAAUAUGAAAACUUGAAAUUUUGAGCCUAAAUUGAAAUCUGAAAAGUCAAUAUA
rnacentral:lncRNA from 1 species